GUGAGGGAUCAUUGCUGGGCACAACCUGGAAAAGGUGUGGAUGUGAGGGAUCCUUUCUGAGCACAACCUGGAAAAGGUGUGGAUGUGAGGGAUCAUUGCUGAGCACAACCUGGAAAAGGUGUGGAUGUGCUUUCUGUGGAUACACAGGCACCGGGACUGUGUCCAUCAUCAGUCAGUGCUGUGUUUUCUGUCAGAAGUGGCUCACGGUUCAAUAUUGGUGUGUGAAGGAUGCAGUGAAACCUCCUCUCUCCCCACAGCAGUGCAGUUCCCCCCCUGAGAGCAUCAGUGGGUUGUCUGUGUGUACAACAAAGUUUUUAGCAGGGCCUGUUGCAGUAGGAGAAUCCACAAUGGUUUCUAAGUAAGGGAGAGUAGUCUUAGACCAGAAAUGAGGAAGAAAUACUUCACAAUGAGGGUGGUGAGGCACUGGCACAGUGGGCAAGGUGUGAACAUGGAUUCUUGUGCAGUGUGGGGGUUAUUGCAGAAUUCCAUGGGAACCUGCAGCAAAUGGAUCCUGCAGGAACAGGAUGAUCCCGGGGGGAAUGCAGAGCUAAGGCUGAGGCAGGUGAGCAGUGGUAAGGUGCCUGUCACUGGUGGCUGGUGCUCAGACAGGCCUGGGAGCUCUGCUUUGGCAAUGGGUGCUUGUCCUGAGACUCUGAGUGCACCUGACACUGCUGUGGGAGUUCCUGUGUGGCCUGGGAUGCGUUCUGGGUGGUGCACAAAUACAUGUUCUUGUGCACGUUGAUUCCUCUGGUGUGUGCUCAAAGGAGAGGGCAGAAAGGUAUCUAUGAAAAGAAAGGAAGGUGAGUGAAGUUGUUUGUGUAAUGUGGAUUUUUAGUGUUUGAAAUCAGGAAGCUCAAGGUGGGGGAGUUGCCUCUUAAACCUGCUUAUAAAUGUCAGCUCUGCUGUGAUCUCAGUGUGAUUAUGACCUUGGCAGCUGUUUAUUUUUGCUCUCAAGGUUUUAUCAGUAGCAGAGGGUUUCUCCAGGUGGAUACUGGUUUGGUUUAAAAUAUUUUUUUUUUUUUUUAUGGGCAGGAUGAGCAGUUUGGAUUAAUGUCAGUGAAGCAAAAUGUACAAGUAGUAACUGGUGUUGUGCUGCAAGAUCAGAGAGUGACCACUGAGAGAAUGGAAUGAGUUUGUGCUGUCUCUAUAAUCCUUUGAAGCCUCUUAGUGCAAGUGCUGUUACACCACAAAUACAGAUGUGUCCUGGCACAGAAGGUGGUGCUGAAUAGAAUUUCAUGUUUCUGGGAUGUUUAUCUCCAAUACUGUUUCCUCCAUACUUUGAGAUUAAAAUAAAUCCUGAAAAAAAGGAUGAAUGGAAGGGCCUAGAACUGCACCUUGGCAGAGGGGGAACAUCCCUGGUGGUGCUCCUGGUACUGGAGCUGCUGUGUCAGGGGUCUGACCUUCCCAAGAGCAGGCUGGGGGAGAGUCUGGGCCUGUGAAUGGUGGGUCAUUUUAAAGAGUUAUUUGAUUUUUUUUCUCUUCCCUCCAAGCCUCCACGCAGACACAUGUUUUUUGCUACAUCAUUAUUUUGAUACCCGGUGGUUUGUUCUGCUGGUUGUGGGUUGUUUGCCAAGGGCCUUGGAGCAGCAGAGCUCAGGAAUGCAGCCUGUAAGCUGAAGAGUGUCACUGAAACCUGCUUUUUCAGAGCCAAGCACCACAGGUGAAAUCAUUGUGACCAGCAGAUUGAGGCAGGUUCCUCUGAGGAGAAGAAACAGAGCAAGGGCCUGGAGGAGUUGUCAGCUGAGUGGGCUCUGCACUGUAGGAAGCAGGAACACCUCACCAUGGAGGCCCUGUUGGAGCCAGAACUGUCCAUGAUCCAGGAAUGAUGGCAAUGGAAGGGGUAUUUCACUGGGAACAGCCCACAGUGAGAUGCAGAGAGACACAGAAAACUUCACCCCUGGCUUGUGCAAAGUGUCUAAAAGUUACCGAGUGUCCUUUUUUUCCGGUUUCUUGUGUGACUUUAGGAAGUGCUGACAUUCCCUUCCUGGAGAGGCAGCACGUGCACAGGUAAGUUGUCUCUGGGCAGGGGAAUCAGACCUGACUGCACAGUCAGUCACUGGGGAGGGGGCAGGGGAGGUUCCAGCAAUGACAGUGGUGACAUUUCCCUGGAUUUGUACACCUUGGCAGGAGCAGGGGAUUGACCACAGUGUGCCAGGGAGAGAGGACAGGAGGAGAGGGAAGGGGAGGAGAGGAUAAUAAAGUGGGGAUAAAGGGGAGGACAGGAAAAGGGAGGGAAGGACAACAAAGGGCAGGAAAGAUAGGAAAGGAUGGGAAAAGGAAGGGAAAGGGAGGACAGGAAGGGAAAGAAAGGGAUGUGACAGGAAAAUAAAGGGGAGGAGAGAACUGGGGAAGACAGGAAAGGGAAGGGGAGUAGCGGAAAAGGAAGAUAAAGAGAGGAGCUGCCACCACCCACACGUGUCACUUCCAUGUUGUGUGUGAGGCACCUCUUUCCCACUUAGAGUCGGUUCUUCCUUCCUGCCCCUGCUGAGCUGUUAUUUCACCUACUCUUUGUUACACUUGGAACAGGUUUUUUUACACAAAUGAGAUCCAUUGUCCACUGUGGCUCCCUGAGUUCAGGGCACUCCAAGGGUGACUGUUCAACCACUGCUCAGCUGUUUGCACAUCAUCUCUGCAUAAAAUGGUUACAGACCCCAAGUAUCCAACCCAUCCCUGUAAAUGCUCAGCAGGGCACAGAACUGCUCCUUGUUUUCCUUCCCCACCUCCAGCAGGCAGGUAUUUUACACGAGUUCACAACUGGUUUCAUUCUAACCUUCAGUGCCAAAAUACUCCCAUGUGACUUUAUGAAAGGACUUUACUUUCAAGUUAAUCUUUUAAAGCUGCAGCUCAAAGGUUUACCGAAUAACUAAAGGUUUACCUUAAAAUUUAGGUUACUCAGCAUUCCAGGGAAGUUGUAUCUUCACACCAAAACCUGGCACCUCCAGGGAGUGACUGGAACUGAGGGUUCCAGUUCCUGUGGGUUUAAGGACACUCAUUCCUCAUCUUCAGCGUGGUUAUGGUUAAUGAGACAAAUAUUGAUCUGAUGUACAACGUUGGGAAAAAACAUGUUAGUUUUAUUAUUUUAAAACUUUACUUUUGAAGAGGUUGUUGUGAAGUCAAACAAGCUGGUGAUUUCCUCUCCCCCCUCCUUCCAGGCACUACUCCUCCCCAGCUCCAAACCCUCUCUGCAUCUGAGAGAGGGGAAAACCUGAACUUAAGAGAUUCCAUUUCCAAGGCUCCUCCCUUCAACUGUUCUAGAAACAAGUCAGAAGAAGGAGCCUUGAGGUGCACACUGUGAAUGCAAAACUGAAUUAGUUAGUCCUCACUGUAAUAUUCACCAAAAUGCAAUUUUUGUUUAAAAAAAGAGGCUGACAUUUCAGUGGAACACCAGGUCUCUGUGCUCUCACCUGUACUAGUGAGUUAGGAGAAAAAAACCCAACAAAAAUCCCAUUAAACUACCCCAACCAAUGCACCCUUCUCACAGUGUUAAAGCUCCAAACCAAGGCCACCUGUGCUCCAAUAGCUGAAAUUAACUCUUAAUUUUAUGUUUUAAAUGUUUAUCUACUUUCCUGCACUUUGAACAGCAGUUUUCUCAAUGGAAAAAAAAAGACAGAGAGAGAGGAGGGCUCGUGUCAGGUAGUGCAGUAUGACUCAGUAGAGCUCCUUUAAUUUCUUUACACAGUAAACAGACUUGUAUUUAUACCAACACCCGCCUGCCCGCUCGUAUUUACAUGGACACUUGUACAUAUAUACAUGUUAGCAAAAUACAGGGCUUCUCCCAGACCCAAAGCUGUGUCAGCUACACCUCUGUUACACAC